CGGAAACAUGUCUAGCUUGCUAGAUGAUGUCGAGUGGCGGACGGGUGAGUAAUACUUAGGAAUAUGCCUUAUGGUGGGGGACAACAGUUGGAAACGACUGCUAAUACCGCAUAAUGUCUACGGACCAAAGGGGGGGAUCUUCGGACCUCUCGCCAUUUGAUUAGCCCAAGUGAGAUUAGCUAGUUGGUGAGGUAAUGGCUCACCAAGGCGACGAUCUCUAGCUGGUUUGAGAGGAUGAUCAGCCACACUGGGACUGAGACACGGCCCAGACUCCUACGGGAGGCAGCAGUGGGGAAUAUUGCACAAUGGGGGAAACCCUGAUGCAGCCAUGCCGCGUGUGUGAAGAAGGCCUUCGGGUUGUAAAGCACUUUCAGUUGUGAGGAAAGUUUGAUGGUUAAUACCCAUUAGAUGUGACGUUAACAACAGAAGAAGGACCGGCUAACUCCGUGCCAGCAGCCGCGGUAAUACGGAGGGUCCGAGCGUUAAUCGGAAUUACUGGGCGUAAAGCGCACGCAGGCGGUUUGUUAAGCUAGAUGUGAAAGCCCCGGGCUCAACCUGGGAAUAGCAUUUAGAACUGGCAGACUAGAGUCUUGGAGAGGGGAGUGGAGUUUCUG
rnacentral:rRNA from 1 species